GUUGAUAGGUAUUGUGAAGGAGCUAGUGGAAGAGUCCGAGAAGACUGUUACUAAGGUUGGCCAAUAUGGUCGACCAUUCUCUGCUGCUGAUGAACGGGGUUGUGUACGCUGGAAGAUUGGUGAAGAUGAAUUAUCAGUGGUGUUAUAUCUGAUUGAUGCUUGUGAUGAAUUAGUUUUGGCAGCCAGGUUCCUUUUGUGGUUGUUACCUAAGGUUCUUGGCAGCUGCAGCGCUACAGUUCAUGGUAGUAGAAACAUUCUAAC
rnacentral:misc_RNA from 1 species